AACCCUGUAGCUCAGUUGGUAGAGCAUGAGACUCUUGAUCUCAGAGUCAUGGGUCCAAGCCCAAUGUUGGGUGA